UCUCCAUAGGAUGCACCCUGACACGUGUCCUGGUGUGUCCCAUGGCACGUAAAAAAUGGUGGCCAUGUGGCCUGGUGACCACACUGCUAACUUCAUCAUCUGCAGAAGGGGGAAACACAACACUGAGCAAGUCUCAUCAAGAAAAGGUGGUGUCUGCUUCUCAGCUUCAGGAAAGGGUGAGGUAGUCCCCACUGGGAACUGUACAGUGCUCCAGAGAGAAAAGGCUGUGCUCAGGGGGAGGGCUGGUGGUGUAGCUCUGCUUACAGUAAUCAUAACCCCAUGAGCUUUAAAAUUCUUUAAAUGCUGCCUUCUAGCUCCCUCACUGUGCCCAAGGCCAGAGAUGAGUGAUGGUUCACCCUGUUCUCUUAUUUUAUGCCUCAUGUGCCAUGUCCUUAUCCCUCUCCCUUCUGAAUGGCAUUAAGAGCAGUAAAGAAGUGGUGACUCAAGGAGGUCUGGGAAAGAAACUCGAAGUCGUGAGUCUGGUGGAGCCCUGAGCGUUUCCAAACGCCCUGCUCUGAGUUCAUCCCACCAGUCGGUCUGUGCAGCGUGAGAACUGGUACGUAAACACAAUUCACAGGCACAUGGGACAAGAAGGAUGUCAGGCUUUUCUGACAGUGGCACCUUGUUCAUGGCUCUCAAAGUUUGGAGGGAGAGUGGGAUCACUGGAAGAUACAAGGCAAGCUGAUGGUUCCCUGGUGGUGCUUACAGCCAGAGGCUUUGGUGGAGAAGGGUACAGCAGUGAGAGCUGUGAGUGUCCAGGAGUCAUCCCAGGCUAUGGUGCUGAGGCUUUAGACACGCUCUGUGGAGCGAUGUGUGGUGUCACAGCACGCACGGAGGGGCGACGUGGGGGUAAUGACAAAUGCAUACACACACACACAGACACAGGCUGUGCAAGUGUAGGCACAUGGAAACAAAGAUGGCAAUGCAUAUAUAGUAUAUACUAUACAGUGGCAUAUGAGAGCUUGGGGGUGUAUAUACCAAAUGUCUGUAUAUACUAUAUAUGGCGAUUAAAGAAUGCAUAUGCAUUCAUGUUCUCUUUUUUUUUUUCUUCCUGUCUCUUCUGUCUUUCUGUGGAGCUGUUGCAAAACUACCAGAUUCAACCUCCUGGGGAGCCUUUCUGGCCAAGGAUGUGCUGUUUGUUGGAAGACGAGGAUGAGCAGUGCCCGGGUGCCGUAGCGCAGUGCUCCGGGCAGGGCUAGUCUGGCACGUCUGGGAAAGCGCUUUGUGACUCUCAGUGUUCACGUGCUGAUCCUUCUCUGUGCAACAUCUCACCCCUGCAAGGACGUGAUUGAGAGCUGGACAGACUGUGAAGGAUGAGCUCCCCAUGUGCUGCCUGUGCCCCCUUUCCUGGUGGGUGCUGGGCAGAGCUGGGGGAGCUCUGGAGGAUGAGCCGAUGCCCACGGCUGGGACUGCAGGCUGCCAGGGCUCUCCAUCUGGUGUUUCUCCAGGACCUGAGCAGAUUCAAUGAUCACUGACGCUUUCCAGGAUCCACAAAGGAUUUUCUUGUGCUCCAGGAACAGAGCCAUUAAAGGCUGACCUGUAAAUUAAUACAGCUGUCUAAAGAUUUUUUUUUCCUCCUGUAGCCUGGCACCUAGUAAACACUGUCUGAGAAGCCUUCCAUGGCACUGGCCCUCAAGAGUGUUCAGAGAGCUCCAUGCCUGCUUUUCUUAAGCUUCUCUCAAUCUCUUUUAAUGAUGUGUUAAACGCAAAGGACUUGCUUUAGCUCCCAUGUAGGGAGCUUUGGUUCACAGCCCAUCCUUCAUCCUGGCUGUUGCCCUGAUCAAUCCAGGGCUGGCACUGCACAGUUGGCAAAGGGGUUACACCAGCACUGUGAUUUGAGUUCUCUGAGGGAGCUCAGUGUGCACUAAGGGCUGGGUGUAUGUGCCCCACAGCAGGUAAGAGAAGCUGCCCCAGAGCACAUGUGGGCAUGGAGGGGUGAAGGUUACAAACCUCUGCACAUCUUAUACUUUGCAUUUCUUUAGGCAAAGGUUUUGGAUCUAAGUACUAAAUUGUGACUGAAGGCUGAGGAAAGGCUGGUGUUAUUGUGGUGUGCAGGCAUAGAAAUUAGGGCACUGUGUGGCAGAUUCAGGAAAAGUGCAAAUCUCUGUAUUUUGUGUGAUGGUUCAUGCUCAGCUCCUGCAGACAGGUGGGUGCUUUAUGGCCCUGGGCAGAGUGAUGCUGUUAAACCCAUCUCUCUUACUCUAAUAAAGUCAUACUUGUCUGAGCA
rnacentral:lncRNA from 1 species